rnacentral:rRNA from 1 species
CUCAGUUCGGAUUGAGGGCUGAAAUUCGCCUUCAUGAAGCCGGAAUUGCUAGUAAUGGCAGGUCAGCAUACUGCCGUGAAUACGUUCCCGGGCCUUGUACACACCGCCCGUCACACCGUGAGAGUUGGGAAUACCCGAAGCCUGUGAGCUAACGAAAGAGGCAGCAGUCGAAGGUAGAAUCAAUGAUUGGGAUGAAGUCGUAACAAGGUAGC